GGUUGAAGGUGGCAAUAACCUCAAAUAUAUCAGAGGGUGUAGAUACUCAACGACUAUAGGAGGCAAUAACUUGAGCAAACAAUUGAUUGCAGAAAUCCAUCGACUAAAGCUGUCACCUGUUUGAUUCCAGCUUUUGUCUCCUUACCUGUUGAGUGUCUAAACUCUCUGGUACGUUCAUAGUUGUUGCUGCCUUUCGCU